UACGUAGGUGGCAAGCGUUGUCCGGAUUUACUGGGCGUAAAGCGCGCGCAGGCGGGCUGGUCAGUCUGGGGUGAAAUCUCACGGCUCAACCGUGAGAGGUCCCUGGAUACUGCUAGCCUUGAGGGGCUCAGAGGAGAGUGGAAUUCCUGGUGUAGCGGUGAAAUGCGCAGAUAUCAGGAAGAACACCAAUGGCGAAAGCAGCUCUCUGGGACGGUACUGACGCUGAGACGCGAAAGCGUGGGGAGCGAACAGG
rnacentral:rRNA from 1 species